GCUGAGGUAGCUAAGCCCGGUUCACGGCGCCAGCCUUGAGAGUUGGUGGUACUCCGUACCUCGGGAGUUCAAAUCUCCCCCUCAGCG
rfam:Euryarchaeota archaeon RBG_13_57_23 RBG_13_scaffold_320, whole genome shotgun sequence.